rnacentral:rRNA from 1 species
UACAGAGGCCACAAGCGUUAGUCGGAAUCACUGGGCUUAAAGGGUGCGUAGGUGGGUCUGCAAGCGUCCUGUGAAAGCCCCCAGCUCAACUGGGGAACAGCAGGGCGAACUGCAGAUCUUGAGGCAGGUAAGGGCCGGGAGAACAGACGGUGGAGCGGUGAAAUGCGUAGAGAUCGUCUGGAAUGCCGAUGGGGAAGCCGCCCGGCUAGGCCUGUCCUGACACUGAGGCACGAAAGCGUGGGGAGCAAACAGG